rnacentral:rRNA from 1 species
GCUCUAAUAGCGUAUAUUAAAGUUGUUGCAGUUAAAAAGCUCGUAGUUGUAUUUUGGCCUGGGACAGGCGGUCGGCUUCUGUCGUACUGCCUUCCUGGUCUUCCUUCUGUGGGCCGCGUCACUCUUCACUGAGGGGCGUGUGAACGCAGAUCGUUUACUGUGAGUAAUUAGAGUGUUCAAGCAGGCCAUACGCUUGAAUA